UGGGGAAACCCAGUGUGAUUCGUCACACUAUCAUUAACUGAAUCCAUAGGUUAAUGAGGCGAACCGGGGGAACUGAAACAUCUAAGUACCCCGAGGAAAAGAAAUCAACCGAGAUUCCCCCAGUAGCGGCGAGCGAACGGGGAGGAGCCCAGAGCCUGAAUCAGCAUGUGUGUUAGUGGAAGCGUCUGGAAAGGCGCGCGAUACAGGGUGACAGCCCCGUACACAAAAGCGCAUGUGCUGUGAGCUCGAUGAGUAGGGCGGGACACGUGGUAUCCUGUCUGAAUAUGGGGGGACCAUCCUCCAAGGCUAAAUACUCCUGACUGACCGAUAGUGAACCAGUACCGUGAGGGAAAGGCGAAAAGAACCCCGGCGAGGGGAGUGAAAAAGAACCUGAAACCGUGUACGUACAAGCAGUGGGAGCACCCUUCGGGGUGUGACUGCGUACCUUUUGUAUAAUGGGUCAGCGACUUAUAUUCUGUAGCAAGGUUAACCGAAUAGGGGAGCCGGAGGGAAACCGAGUCUUAAUUGGGCGUUAAGUUGCAGGGUAUAGACCCGAAACCCGGUGAUCUAGCCAUGGGCAGGUUGAAGGUUGGGUAACACUAACUGGAGGACCGAACCGACUAAUGUUGAAAAAUUAGCGGAUGACCUGUGGCUGGGGGUGAAAGGCCAAUCAAACCGGGAGAUAGCUGGUUCUCCCCGAAAGCUAUUUAGGUAGCGCCUCGUGAAUUCAUCUCCGGGGGUAGAGCACUGUUUCGGCUAGGGGGCCAUCCCGGCUUACCAACCCGAUGCAAACUGCGAAUACCGGAGAAUGUUAUCACGGGAGACACACGGCGGGUGCUAACGUCCGUCGUGAAGAGGGAAACAACCCAGACCGCCAGCUAAGGUCCCAAAGUCAUGGUUAAGUGGGAAACGAUGUGGGAAGGCCCAGACAGCCAGGAUGUUGGCUUAGAAGCAGCCAUCAUUUAAAGAAAGCGUAAUAGCUCACUGGUCGAGUCGGCCUGCGCGGAAGAUGUAACGGGGCUAAACCAUGCACCGAAGCUGCGGCAGCGAACGUAUCACCCAAGACAACUUUACGGAGUUGACGAUUGACGGAGCGAAGCGACGUCAAAGCGUUCAUUAAAGUCGAGUUGGCUUAGGGAUACGUUCGUUGGGUAGGGGAGCGUUCUGUAAGCCUGUGAAGGUGUGUCGUGAGGCAUGCUGGAGGUAUCAGAAGUGCGAAUGCUGACAUAAGUAACGAUAAAGCGGGUGAAAAGCCCGCUCGCCGGAAGACCAAGGGUUCCUGUCCAACGUUAAUCGGGGCAGGGUGAGUCGACCCCUAAGGCGAGGCCGAAAGGCGUAGUCGAUGGGAAACGGGUUAAUAUUCCCGUACUUGGUGUUACUGCGAAGGGGGGACGGAGAAGGCUAUGUUGGCCGGGCGACGGUUGUCCCGGUUUAAGCGUGUAGGUGUGUGUUCCAGGUAAAUCCGGUU
rnacentral:rRNA from 1 species